UGAGGAAUAUUGGUCAAUGGGCGCAAGCCUGAACCAGCCAUCCCGCGUGCAGGAAGACGGCGCUAUGCGUUGUAAACUGCUUUUCCAGGGAGAGAAACUUGCGCACGUGUUGCGCAAUUGACGGUACCCUGGGAAUAAGCAUCGGCUAACUCCGUGCCAGCAGCCGCGGUAAUACGGUGGAUGCGAGCGUUAUCCGGAUUCAUUGGGUUUAAAGGGUGCGUAGGCGGACUAUUAAGUCAGUGGUGAAAUCCUGCAGCUUAACUGCAGAACUGCCAUUGAUACUGAUAGCCUUGAGUUUGGUUAAGUUAGGCGGAAUGUGUAAUGUAGCGGUGAAAUGCUAGAUAUUACACAGAACACCAAUUGCGUAGGCAGCUUACUGAGCCGACACUGACGCUGAGGCACGAAAGCGUGGG
rnacentral:rRNA from 1 species